GACGGAGGAUGCAAGCGUUAUCCGGAAUGAUUGGGCGUAAAGCGUUCGCAGGUGGCUGUUCAAGUCUGCUGUCAAAGACCGGGGCUUAACCCUAGAAAGGCAGUGGAAACUGAACGGCUGGAGUGCAGUAGGGGUAGAGGGAAUUCCCAGUGUAGCGGUGAAAUGCGUAGAGAUUGGGAAGAACACCGGUGGCGAAAGCGCUCUGCUGGACUGCAACUGACGCUGAGGUACGAAAGCUAGGGGAGCGAAUGGG
rnacentral:rRNA from 1 species